rnacentral:rRNA from 1 species
ACGGAAAGGCCUCAGCUUGCUGGGGUACUCGAGUGGCGAACGGGUGAGUAACACGUGGGUGAUCUGCCCUGCACUUUGGGAUAAGCUUGGGAAACUGGGUCUAAUACCGAAUAUGACCACUUCUUGGAUGUUGUGGUGGAAAGCUUUUGCGGUGUGGGAUGAGCCUGCGGCCUAUCAGCUUGUUGGUGGGGUAAUGGCCUACCAAGGCGGCGACGGGUAUCCGGCCUGAGAGGGUGUACGGACACAUUGGGACUGAGAUACGGCCCAGACUCCUACGGGAGGCAGCAGUGGGGAAUAUUGCACAAUGGGCGCAAGCCUGAUGCAGCGACGCCGCGUGGGGGAUGAAGGCCUUCGGGUUGUAAACUCCUUUCGCUAUCGACGAAGCCACUUGUGGUGACGGUGGGUAGAUAAGAAGCACCGGCUAACUACGUGCCAGCAGCCGCGGUAAUACGUAGGGUGCAAGCGUUGUCCGGAAUUACUGGGCGUAAAGAGCUCGUAGGUGGUUUGUCGCGUCGUCUGUGAAAUCCCGGGGCUUAACUUCGGGCGUGCAGGCGAUACGGGCAUAACUUGAGUGCUGUAGGGGAGACUGGAAUUCCUGGUGUAGCGGUGAAAUGCGCAGAUAUCAGGAGGAACACCGAUGGCGAAGGCAGGUCUCUGGGCAGUAACUGACGCUGAGGAGCGAAAGCAUGGGUAGCGAACAGGAUUAGAUACCCUGGUAGUCCAUGCCGUAAACGGUGGGCGCUAGGUGUAGGGGGCUUCCACGUCUUCUGUGCCGUAGCUAACGCAUUAAGCGCCCCGCCUGGGGAGUACGGCCGCAAGGCUAAAACUCAAAGGAAUUGACGGGGGCCCGCACAAGCGGCGGAGCAUGUGGAUUAAUUCGAUGCAACGCGAAGAACCUUACCUGGGCUUGACAUGUACCGGA